UAGGGAAUUUUCCACAAUGGACGAAAGUCUGAUGGAGCAACGCCGCGUGCAGGAUGAAUGCCUUCGGGUUGUAAACUGCUUUUAUCUGUGAAGAUUAUGACGGUAGCAGAUGAAUAAGGAUCGGCUAACUCCGUGCCAGCAGCCGCGGUCAUACGGAGGAUCCAAGCGUUAUCCGGAAUUACUGGGCGUAAAGAGUUGCGUAGGUGGCAUUGCAAGUCGGUAGUGAAAGCGUAGGGCUCAACCCUAUACACAUUAUUGAAACUGCAAAGCUAGAGGACGAGAGAGGCAUCUGGAAUUCCUAGUGUAGGAGUGAAAUCCGUAGAUAUUAGGAGGAACACCGAUGGCGUAGGCAGGGUGCUGGCUCGUUCCUGACACUAAGGCACGAAAGCGUGGGGAGCAAAC
rnacentral:rRNA from 1 species